GCGGCCUAUCAGCUUGUUGGUGAGGUAAUGGCUCACCAAGGCGACGACGGGUAGCCGGCCUGAGAGGGCGACCGGCCACACUGGGACUGAGACACGGCCCAGACUCCUACGGGAGGCAGCAGUGGGGAAUAUUGGGCAAUGGAGGAAACUCUGACCCAGCGACGCCGCGUGCGGGAUGAAGGCCUUCGGGUUGUAAACCGCUUUCAGUAGGGAAGAAGCGAAAGUGACGGUACCUACAAAAGAAACACCGGCUAACUAUGUGCCAGCAGCCGCGGUAAUACAUAGGGUGCAAGCGUUGUCCGGAAUUAUUGGGCGUAAAGAGCUCGUAGGUCGUUUGUUACGCCGGAUGUGAAAACCUGAGGCUCAACCUCAGGCCUGCAUUCGAUACGGGCAAACUAGAGUUUGGUAGGGGAGACUGGAAUUCCU
rnacentral:rRNA from 1 species